CAGCAGCCACGGUAAUACGGAGGGUGCAAGCGUUAUCCGGAUUUAUUGGGUUUAAAGGGUCCGUAGGCGGACUUAUAAGUCAGUGGUGAAAGCCUGUCGCUUAACGAUAGAACUGCCAUUGAUACUGUAAGUCUUGAGUAUAUUUGAGGUAGCUGGAAUAAGUAGUGUAGCGGUGAAAUGCAUAGAUAUUACUUAGAACACCAAUUGCGAAGGCAGGUUACCAAGAUAUAACUGACGCUGAGGGACGAAAGCGUGGGUAGCGAACAGGAUUAGAUACCCGUGUAGUCCCUGUCUCUUAUAC
rnacentral:rRNA from 1 species